rnacentral:rRNA from 1 species
UGGGGAAUUUUGGACAAUGGGCGCAAGCCUGAUCCAGCAAUGCCGCGUGCAGGAUGAAGGCCUUCGGGUUGUAAACUGCUUUUGUACGGAACGAAAAGCCUCUCUCUAAUACAGGGGGGUGAUGACGGUACCGUAAGAAUAAGCACCGGCUAACUACGUGCCAGCAGCCGCGGUAAUACGUAGGGUGCAAGCGUUAAUCGGAAUUACUGGGCGUAAAGCGUGCGCAGGCGGUUUUGUAAGACAGUGGUGAAAUCCCCGGGCUCAACCUGGGAACUGCCAUUGUGACUGCAAGGCUGGAGUGCGGCAGAGGGGGAUGGAAUUCCGCGUGUAGCAGUGAAAUGCGUAGAUAUGCGGAGGAACACCGAUGGCGAAGGCAAUCCCCUGGGCCUGCACUGACGCUCAUGCACGAAAGCGUGGGGAGCAAACAGGAUUAGAUACCCUGGUAGUCCACGCCCUAAAACGAUGUCAACUGGUUGUUGGGGAUUUAUUUCUUCAGUAACGAAGCUAACGCGUGAAGUUGACCGCCUGGGGGAGUACGGCC